UACGUAGGGUGCGAGCGUUGUCCGGAAUUAUUGGGCGUAAAGAGCUCGUAGGCGGUUUGUCGCGUCGACUGUGAAAACCCGAGGCUUAACCUCGGGCCUGCAGUCGAUACGGGCAGACUAGAGUUCGGUAGGGGAGACUGGAAUUCCUGGUGUAGCGGUGAAAUGCGCAGAUAUCAGGAGGAACACCGGUGGCGAAGGCGGGUCUCUGGGCCGAUACUGACGCUGAGACGCGAAAGCGUGGGGAGCAAACAGG
rnacentral:rRNA from 1 species